rnacentral:rRNA from 1 species
CGUUGGGAGCUCUCCCAUAUGGUCGNACCUGCAGGCGGCCGCGAAUUCACUAGUGAUUAACGCUGGCGGCGUGCCUAACACAUGCAAGUCGAACGAAGCAAUUAAAUGAAGUUUUCGGAUGGAAUUUGAUUGACUGAGUGGCGGACGGGUGAGUAACGCGUGGAUAACCUGCCUCACACUGGGGGAUAACAGUUAGAAAUGACUGCUAAUACCGCAUAAGCGCACAGUACCGCAUGGUACGGUGUGAAAAACUCCGGUGGUGUGAGAUGGAUCCGCGUCUGAUUAGCCAGUUGGCGGGGUAACGGCCCACCAAAGCGACGAUCAGUAGCCGACCUGAGAGGGUGACCGGCCACAUUGGGACUGAGACACGGCCCAAACUCCUACGGGAGGCAGCAGUGGGGAAUAUUGCACAAUGGGCGAAAGCCUGAUGCAGCGACGCCGCGUGAGUGAAGAAGUAUUUCGGUAUGUAAAGCUCUAUCAGCAGGGAAGAAAAUGACGGUACCUGACUAAGAAGCCCCGGCUAACUACGUGCCAGCAGCCGCGGUAAUACGUAGGGGGCAAGCGUUAUCCGGAUUUACUGGGUGUAAAGGGAGCGUAGACGGCGAAGCAAGUCUGAAGUGAAAACCCAGGGCUCAACCCUGGGACUGCUUUGGAAACUGUUUUGCUAGAGUGUCGGAGAGGUAAGUGGAAUUCCUAGUGUAGCGGUGAAAUGCGUAGAUAUUANGAGGAACACCAGUGGCNAANGCGGCUUACUGGACGAUAACUGACGUUGAGGCUCGAAAGCGUGGGGGAGCNAACAGGGAUUAGAUACCCUGNNAGUCCACGCCGUAAACGAUGAAAUGCUNGGUGUUGGGGG